GAGUGCCUCUGCACAUGCACAUGCGCGAGUGGCGAAACGCGGAAAUAUACACUUCUGGGUUGCCGUGGCUGUAACCCAAAGAUUCCGUAACCUGGAGGUUACACAACAUGAGGUACCGCUGUAUAGAUUUAGAGACUUGGUUUGCAGAGGGACAUAGUCUGGAAAACCACAGCUGGGCAGAGCUGAAUGGGGAACAGCUAAGAGAAUCAGAACAGGUAAGAGAAAGAGAUAACUGACUCCCCUUCGCUGGAAAGUGUCUCGCCUCUCUCUCCAAGGGCAAGGAGAGCUGAUAAGGUUGCUACGCAGAAGGCUCAGUGGUUACGAGAUCAGGUUGUGAGAAGGGGAAGUGACGGGGAGGACUUGGGCAGGAAGUAGGAGGAAAACCUAAUUGGGAGCAUCUUCACUCCGAGAAUGGCUGCUUUGUUCUUUUUCUCUGAUCAUUAAACACUCUUAACUGGUAAGCGAUUCUAAUUACUUUGUUCUCCUGAUGCACGGCCAAAGGGUGGGGGAAGGAAGCUGUUUCCCUAAUGCCUCACAGUCCCCCCCCCUCUAGAUUUGAAUGUAUUGUUAUGUCCCUAAAUACCUCCGUUGUGGACCAAUAGACAGUGGU